CUAAUUCCAGAGAAAUAUGUCUGUUAGUUAAUACAUAAUGUCAGUUUGUAUAUAUAUAAAAAAAAAUCAACCGAAUGCUGUUCAUUUAUAAUGAAGACUUCAGAAUAAAGUAAAUCUUAGUUAUUCCCCGGUUGGCAUGUUCAUCGUGAAUGAAAAAAAAAGUUAAAAAUCAUUCAAUAUGUAAUUUCAAGACCUUCGAAGGAAUACACCACCAAAACAAGUGCCGUGCUACACUUUACAUAUAGCAUAUGUUUUUCUCCUUGUUUAUCCUGAAAUUCGUUUGUUCAAUCCAGCAGUCAUUUUGUGGUGAUUAUCUAUAAUUCGUUGAUUCGUGACCUACGACCAAACAUAUUAUCAUCACUAAACUUAUUACAAAUAAACCUUAAUGUUUGCGUUUUUUUUUCUGUAUUGAACAUUUUGUACAGGUUUCUUCUAUCCACCGAGCAAGGUCGUGAUAUCUUGUGAUAUGACGUGUGAUGUACAGCCAACUAUAUUAGAGUGUACUACGGCUUGGAAAUAUAUUGGGAGACAUUAGGCAUUUGAGCUGGCUUUCUGCUGGGAACAGUAUGUCAAUAUACAUAUAUAUGUACAUAUGUUCCUGCUUUUUGUAACUGCUAGCAAGUCAGGAAACUGACUUUUCAUUGGUUGUCUAAUGUGAUACCUUCACC
rnacentral:lncRNA from 1 species